AAGAGUCAAGAACAUUAUUUAGAUGAUACUGUAGAGAUGAACUCUUCUCUGGGCUUAGUGACUGUGGUACUCUUAGUGCUUGGACAAACCCAUGGAGACUCGGUGACCCAGACAAAAGGCCAAGUGACUCUCUCAGAAGGGGCUCCCCUGACUGUGAAUUGCUCCUAUGAGACCAUACUGUUCCCUGCUCUUUUCUGGUAUGUUCAGUAUCCUGGAGAAGGUCCACAGCUCCUCCUGAAAGCCACAAGGGUCAACGAGAGUGGAAGCAGCAAAGGAUUUGUAGCCACAUACCAAAAACAACCAAAUGCCUUCCACUUGGAGAAAGCCUCAGUCCACCAGUCAGAUUCUGCAAUGUACUACUGGGUGAUAGGGAUGAACGUGGAGCAGAGUCCUUCAAUCCUGAGCCUCCAGGAGGGAACCAGCUCUACUCUGAGGUGCAAUUUUUCUACCACAGUGACCAAUGUGCAGUGGUUCCGACAGAAUCCUGGGGGCGGCCUCAUCAAUCUAUUUUACAUGACUUCAGGGACAAAGCACAGUGGAAGGUUAAGCUCCACACUGAAUUCUAAGGACCGGUACAGUACCCUGAGCAUCACAGCCUCCCAACUGGAGGACUCAGCCACCUACCUCUGUGCAGCGGAGGCACAGUGCUGCCAGGUGAUCUGCAGCCUGUACCCAAACUGCAGCUGGGCCUGGAGCCCCAGCCCUUCCACGGGCAGGCAUGUUGUCCCACAUUAG